AACUUUUGGCAACGGAUCACUAGGUUCUGGCAUCGAUGAAGUACGCAGCGAAAUGCGAUAAGUAAUGUGAAUUGCAGAAUUCAGUGAAUCAUCGAAUCUUUGAACGCACAUUGCGCCCCUUGGUAUUCCGGGGGGCAUGCCUGUUCGAGCGUCAUUUCAACCCUCAAGCUCAGCUUGGUCUUGGGCUCUGCCGGCAACGGCUUGCCUUAAAAUCAGUGGCGGUGCCAUCGAGCUCUACGCGUAGUAAUUAAACCCUCGCUUCUGAGUCUUGGUGGACGCUUGCCAGCAACCCCCAAUUUUUUAUGGUUGACCUCGGAUCAGGUAGGGAUACCCGCUGAACUUAAGCAUAUCAAUAAGCGGAGGCU
rnacentral:misc_RNA from 1 species